UAUAAUGUGGGAAUCUGCCUUUUGGUUUGGAUAACACGGGGAAACUUGUGCUAAUACCAAAUAAGCCCUUACGGGGAAAGUUUUAAUGCCGAAAGAUGAGCCCGCACUUGAUUAGCUAGUUGGUAAGGUAAAAGCUUACCAAGGCAACGAUCAAUAGCUGUUCUUAGAGGAAGACCAGCCACAUUGGGACUGAGACACGGCCCAGACUCCUACGGGAGGCAGCAGUGGGGAAUCUUGCACAAUGGGGGAAACCCUGAUGCAGCGAUGCCGCGUGAGUGAAGAAGGCCCUUGGGUUGAAAAACUCUUUCGCCGGGGAAAAAAAUGACUGUACCCAAAUAAAAAGGUCCGGCUAACUUCUUGCCACCACCCGCGGUAAUACGAAGGGACCUAGCGUAUUUCGAAAUUACCUGGGCUUAAAGAAGCCCGAAGGGGGUUAAAAAAUUUGAUGGUGAAACCCCAAGGCUUACCCUUGGGAACUGCCCAUCAAAAUUUUUUAGCUUAAAGUGUGAUAAAGGAAAGUGGAAUUUUCUCGGGUAAAGGGGAAAUUCGUAUAUUUUUAAAAAAGAACCCCCAAUGGGAAGGCACCUUUCUGGGGUCACUACUGACACUGAGGAAACAAAACCUUGGU
rnacentral:rRNA from 1 species